rnacentral:rRNA from 1 species
GCAGGCCUAACACAUGCAAGUCGAGCGGUAGCACAGAGAGCUUGCUCUCGGGUGACGAGCGGCGGACGGGUGAGUAAUGUCUGGGAAACUGCCUGAUGGAGGGGGAUAACUACUGGAAACGGUAGCUAAUACCGCAUAAUGUCGCAAGACCAAAGUGGGGGACCUUCGGGCCUCAUGCCAUCAGAUGUGCCCAGAUGGGAUUAGCUAGUAGGUGGGGUAAUGGCUCACCUAGGCGACGAUCCCUAGCUGGUCUGAGAGGAUGACCAGCCACACUGGAACUGAGACACGGUCCAGACUCCUACGGGAGGCAGCAGUGGGGAAUAUUGCACAAUGGGCGCAAGCCUGAUGCAGCCAUGCCGCGUGUGUGAAGAAGGCCUUCGGGUUGUAAAGCACUUUCAGCGGGGAGGAAGGCGAUAAGGUUAAUAACCUUGUCGAUUGACGUUACCCGCAGAAGAAGCACCGGCUAACUCCGUGCCAGCAGCCGCGGUAAUACGGAGGGUGCAAGCGUUAAUCGGAAUUACUGGGCGUAAAGCGCACGCAGGCGGUCUGUCAAGUCGGAUGUGAAAUCCCCGGGCUCAACCUGGGAACUGCAUUCGAAACUGGCAGGCUAGAGUCUUGUAGAGGGGGGUAGAAUUCCAGGUGUAGCGGUGAAAUGCGUAGAGAUCUGGAGGAAUACCGAUGGCGAAGGCGGCCCCCUGGACAAAGACUGACGCUCAGGUGCGAAAGCGUGGGGAGCAAACAGGAUUAGAUACCCUGGUAGUCCACGCCGUAAACGAUGUCGAUUUGGAGGUUGUGCCCUUGAGGCGUGGCUUCCGGAGCUAACGCGUUAAAUCGACCGCCUGGGGAGUACGGCCGCAAGGUUAAAACUCAAAUGAAUUGACGGGGGCCCGCACAAGCGGUGGAGCAUGUGGUUUAAUUCGAUGCAACGCGAAGAACCUUACCUGGUCUUGACAUCCACAGAACUUUCCAGAGAUGGAUUGGUGCCUUCGGGAACUGUGAGACAGGUGCUGCAUGGCUGUCGUCAGCUCGUGUUGUGAAAUGUUGGGUUAAGUCCCGCAACGAGCGCAACCCUUAUCCUUUGUUGCCAGCGGUCCGGCCGGGAACUCAAAGGAGACUGCCAGUGAUAAACUGGAGGAAGGUGGGGAUGACGUCAAGUCAUCAUGGCCCUUACGACCAGGGCUACACACGUGCUACAAUGGCAUAUACAAAGAGAAGCGACCUCGCGAGAGCAAGCGGACCUCAUAAAGUAUGUCGUAGUCCGGAUUGGAGUCUGCAACUCGACUCCAUGAAGUCGGAAUCGCUAGUAAUCGUAGAUCAGAAUGCUACGGUGAAUACGUUCCCGGGCCUUGUACAC